rnacentral:rRNA from 1 species
AGCGAACGCUGGCGGCAGGCUUAACACAUGCAAGUCGAGCGGGCGUAGCAAUACGUCAGCGGCAGACGGGUGAGUAACGCGUGGGAACAUACCUUUUGGUUCGGAACAACACAGGGAAACUUGUGCUAAUACCGGAUAAGCCCUUACGGGGAAAGAUUUAUCGCCGAAAGAUUGGCCCGCGUCUGAUUAGCUUGUUGGUGAGGUAACGGCUCACCAAGGCGACGAUCAGUAGCGGUCUGAGAGGAUGAUCAGCCACAUUGGGACUGAGACACGGCCCAAACUCCUACGGGAGGCAGCAGUGGGGAAUAUUGGACAAUGGGGGCGAACCCUGAUCCAGCAAUGCCGCGUGAGUGAAGAAGGCC